AGUAAUCGCAGAUCAGCAUGCUGCGGUGAAUACGUUCCCGGGCCUUGUACACACCGCCGUCACACCAUGGGAGUCGGUAACACCGAAGUCGGUAGUCUAACCGAAGGAGGACGCCGCCGAAGGUGGGAUUGAUGACUGGGGUGAAGUCGUAACAAGGUACC
rnacentral:rRNA from 1 species